rnacentral:rRNA from 1 species
GGCGAACGGGUGAGUAACACGUACCUAAUCUACCUAUUAGCGGGGGAUAACAGUUGGAAACGACUGCUAAUACCGCAUACGAUAUUUUCUGGCAUCAGAGAAUGUUAAAAGAUCCGCUUGGAUCACUAAUAGAUGAGGGUGCGGCGUAUUAGCUAGUUGGUAGGGUAAUGGCCUACCAAGGCAAUGAUACGUAGCCGAACUGAGAGGUUAAACGGCCACAUCGGGACUGAGACACGGCCCGA